rnacentral:tRNA from 1 species
UCUAAUGUGGCAGAAUUUUAUGCAAUGAACUUAAAAUUCAUUUAUAAAGAUUAAUCUUUUUUUAGAAAUU